CUGCACACUUAGCAAUAAGUUUAGGGAACUGGCACUAACCGGCCGAAAACUUACACACACCC
rnacentral:rRNA from 1 species